rnacentral:rRNA from 1 species
UACGUAGGGGGCGAGCGUUGUCCGGAUUUAUUGGGCGUAAAGAGCUCGUAGGCGGUUCGAUAAGUCGGACGUGAAAUCUCCACGCUCAACGUGGAGGGGCCGUUCGAUACUGUCGUGACUCGAGUCCGGUAGGGGAGUGUGGAAUUCCCGGUGUAGCGGUGAAAUGCGCAGAUAUCAGGAAGAACACCAAUGGCGAAAGCAGCUCUCUGGGACGGUACUGACGCUGAGACGCGAAAGCGUGGGGAGCGAACAGG